UUUGCACGUGGAUCGCCGUUCGGGUGGGCGAGAUGGAGACAGCCCCCAAGCCGGGCAAGGAUGUCCCGCCCAAGAAAGACAAACUUCAGACCAAGAGAAAGAAACCGCGGCGAUACUGGGAGGAAGAGACCGUUCCGACCACAGCCGGAGCCUCUCCAGGGCCUCCUCGUAACAAGAAGAAUCGGGAGCUCCGUCCUCAGAGACCAAAAAAUGCUUACAUCUUAAAGAAGUCUCGGAUCUCUAAGAAGCCUCAGGUCCCGAAGAAACCCCGAGAAUGGAAGAACCCGGAGUCCCAGCGCGGCUUGUCCGGGGCCCAAGAUCCAUUCCCAGGCCCCGCCCCCGUCCCUGUGGAAGUGGUCCAGAAGUUCUGUCGCAUUGACAAAUCUCGAAAGGUGAGGUCCAGCCGGAGAGUUGGGAAGUGCUGGAGGCAGGGAGUGUCUGGCUACCACAUUCUAAAGCCAAAACUCGAAGCCGACUUGAGGUGGCUGAAGCUGAGGAAGAGGAAACAAGUAUCAAAGCUGCUCGUUCUGAGCUGCUGCUUGCUGAAGAACCUGGGUUUCUGGAAGGGGAGGAUGGGGAAGACACAGCAAAGAUAUGCCAGGCUGACAUUGUGGAGGCUGUGGACAUUGCAAGUGCAGCCAAGCACUUUGACUUGAAUCUGCGGCAGUUUGGACCCUACAGACUAAACUACUCUCGAACUGGAAGACACCUGGCUUUUGGAGGGCGCCGAGGUCAUGUGGCUGCCCUUGAUUGGGUAACA
rnacentral:misc_RNA from 1 species